UCCUCAAAACGAAAUAUUGGCUGUGAUUCUAUUUUUAUAUAAAAUGCACGCGAUAAAAACAAAAUAUAAUAGAAAACGUUAUAUUUAUAUUUAUACUAUAGAGAAUAUUAGAAAAAAUUUAAUAUAUAUAUAUAUACAGUAAACAAAAGUUUCAAACACGUAAACGAAAUAAUUUUAUUUGUUGGAAAGCUUUUACAUUUAAUAUAGAUUUUUUACACAUAAAUGUUACAUGCUCGCGAUGGAGUGUUGGCAAAAUUCCCAUCUGCAAAUUUUGACAAUUUUUUUAUAUUUGCAGACUCUCCCCUUAUUCCAUCUUUCCCUCCUUCACGAGGUUCGCGCCGGUCGGUAAAACAGAAUCCCUUGAGCGCGCUGAAAGCGCGACUUUCCCGACUCUGGUCUUGGACAUUCGAUGACGUAACGAGAUAUUGAUUCGGCGUUCCCGGCCCCGGCGUCGCAGGCGACCAGCGACAGAUGUAGUGCUCGCGCGCGCGCCCGCUUGACGUUUAACGUCGCGCGUUCUUCUUCCUCCCCUGUCAAAACAGUUAUGCGAUCACGUUCGCGUAACAUAUCGAGUGUCGUAGCGCAUAAUAAUAAUCCGUGUAUCAGCUAAACAUACGCAUUCGGUGCGACGAUCGCGAUUCGGUUCCUCUCGCGAGAAUCAAUAUGCGAGAGCGACACGACGGCGGUUCCGUUGACAGUGAAUCCUUGGGCUAAACAAUGGAUCAAUACCGAUACCUUGCGGCGGAGAGCGACUCGUAGAAACGGUAAUGAAUCGCCGCUCCCUGCCUCCCCUCGUUUCCCCGCGAGCAAGAUUCUUUAGUCCGCGUUACACGUAUCGUUUCGCGAUAGGCGUAACACAGAAACGCUAAAUCUUACGUUAGAGUUAGAGAGAACUGUACUCUUCUUUCGUCGGUUCUUUUUCCUUGCGUCACGCACGCAUACACGCACGUACGUACGUAUUAUUUAACCCUUAACCCUACGCGAAUCUGAAUUUGACAGGUGUCUUGUAUGCCUCAAUAUAACGCGAAAAAGAUAAAUACCUUGCUUAGUUUUCGAUCAAAUUACUCGCUUUGAUAGAUAUAACGCAAAAUUG